CUGUGACUUUCACAGAUGUCUCUUAGCUUUCUCACCACCACUGGCCCCUUAGGUGAGACAAAGGAGUAGGAGAAUUACCUUUCCCCCAGAAAGAGUGUCAUUUGGAGAAUGCUCAAAAGUAAAGCAAGGAAAGGAGGGCAAAUUUAUUUAUAACUUCUAGAAAACUCAGUUUGACUCUUUGUGACCCCAUCUCUGAAUAUGCACAAAUGUAUGCAAGAUCGUCCUUAAAGUCAUCAAAAGAGUGAGAGGGCGAAGUCUCUGUCUCUGCGAGGAAUCUUGCAGUUUCCCCUACAUGAUGCUGGAUUUAUCGGAUCAAGUCAGGCUGUGUUUCAAGUUUCUCAUAAGAAAUUAAACAUCGUGUCCUGGGAGACAUGGAGGGAGAUUGGUUGCAGAGGUGACAUCAUCAGGCAGAACAAGCCACACCCUCAUUCGUCAAUGUGCCAGCACCGAGGCCCGGCCCUGGCAAUGGCCCAGCCCUCUCAUCUCUCCUUGUCGACAUGGCCUUGGGAAGAUCUCGGCACCUGUAGGGGCUGGUACAUGUCCUUGCCCACACUGCUUCUAUGCAGAUGUCUUCUGGUUCUCCUUCCUCCUGGGCCUCUGAGCACCUUGCAAAAUGAAUUCUCACUGCAAUCAGCUCCUUUCUACUGAUGAGGAAGCAGGCGCAGGAUAGUGAGGUGACUUGUUCAAGGAUGCACGUGCAUUUUCCUGGCUGGUGGCGGUGGAAUUUUGAACAUCAGACAGAAACAGCAGGAUAAAUACCUGUUCCACCUUUGGAAUUCAUGGUCCUGGGUUCAAGUCCUGCUCAUUAAGAUCUUAGACAAGUUACAUAAUCUCUCUGUAUCUCAGAUUCCCUAACUAUUA